AUGAGCGACCAGUGCAUCCACCGCUUGCUCGCUGCUAGCCCCGUUCUGGAGAACCUUGGGCUCGUGCUCAAGGGGAAGCCCGAGCGUGUCCAUGUCUGCAGCCAAAGCCUCCGGUGCUUGCUCCUUGGGUUGUCCAAGGUGGAGGAGUUCACCGUGGUGGACGCCCCGCUCUUGGAGCGCAUCAUCUUCUUCAGGCCGCCUUAUGGUGGAACCGAUUGCGUGAGAUUCAAGAUUGCUUCGGCACCCAAGCUGCGGGUGAUCGGCUACCUGCAGACAAGAAUUCACAAGCUGCAGAUCAGUGACAACAUCAUCAAUCCUGACACAAACACGAGCCCAGGCACCAUGGUCCCUAGUGUUGAGAUAUUGGCCGUGAAGGUGAACUUUGGUGUAUUCUGGGAGGUGAAGAUGUUGGCCAGCUUUCUAAGAUGCUUCCCCAAUGUCAGCACGCUGCACAUCGAGUCUGUACCGCAUGAUCCAUCAGUAGCCACUCAUGAACCCACUGAAGAGCACUAUGCUAGGUUCUGGCAGGAGGCCAGUCCAGUCGAAAGCUUGAGGUUACAUGUCAGGAGCUUGUUCAUCCACAAAUUUCGAGGGGAUCAAAACGAGUUUGAAUUCCUCAAGUAUGUGGCCAUGAAUGCGCGGGAGUUGCGAGCUUUGCUGGUCAUGUCGCCUGAAGAAAAUUUUGCUUCGGCACUGGCAAACAAGGUGAAUGAGAUGGCAAACAAAUUGGAUCGUCCACGGUUUCAGCCAUGGAUCGCUCGAGGAUUCCUGGAGGCACCUCGAGUACGGAAUGCUUAG
rnacentral:rRNA from 1 species